GGAAAGGAAUGGAAGACGUUCAGUGCACCUGCACGUGACCCCAAAAUUUAGUCGGGAAGCUGGGUGUUUCACCUCCAGUGAAAGCAAGUGGGAGUGAUAGGAAAGGCUUGGAAAAAGAUCGAGCAGGGGAAGAGAGAGAUGUCGGCAUCUUCUCUCCCUCCUGCAUAAGACCCUUCCAGUAUGUAAUCGCUGACCUGGAGAAAUAAUGCUCGAGUACAGAGUACGGGGCAGAGUUCCAGGUGUCACUGUGCACCCAACCCCCACGAGCUUUGUGAUUCAUCGCAAACGGCCGAUCCGGGAGGAUGAGUAAACUCCGCAAGUACAGUCGUGUCACAGGACAUAAGUGACCAUGGUGCUCAAUAGUUUGGAUAAGAUGAUUCAACUCCAGAAAAACACGGCUAACAUCAGGAAUAUCUGUGUCUUGGCUCAUGUUGACCAUGGAAAAACUACUCUGGCUGACUGUCUUAUAUCUAGCAAUGGCAUCAUCUCCAGUCGCCUGGCAGGCAAGUUAAGGUACAUGGACAGCAGAGAGGAUGAACA